UACGAAGGGGGCUAGCGUUGCUCGGAAUCACUGGGCGUAAAGCGCACGUAGGCGGAUUGCUAAGUCAGGGGUGAAAUCCUGGAGCUCAACUCCAGAACUGCCUUUGAUACUGAAGAUCUUGAGUUCGGGAGAGGUGAGUGGAACUGCGAGUGUAGAGGUGAAAUUCGUAGAUAUUAGCAGGAACACCGGUGGCGAAGGCGGCUAUCUGGACGACAACUGACGCUGAGGCGCGAAAGCGUGGGGAUCAAACAGG
rnacentral:rRNA from 1 species